GUGGGGAAUUGUUCGCAAUGGGCGCAAGCCUGACGACGCAACGCCGCGUGGAGGAUGAAGGUCUUCGGAUUGUAAACUCCUGUUGCCAGGGACGAAUGGCUCCGACCUAAUACGUCGGAGUAUGACGGUACCUGGUGAGGAAGCCCCGGCUAACUCUGUGCCAGCAGCCGCGGUAAUACAGAGGGGGCAAGCGUUGUUCGGAAUUACUGGGCGUAAAGGGCGCGUAGGCGGCCCGCUAAGUCGAACGUGAAAUCCCCGGGCUUAACCCGGGAACUGCGUCCGAUACUGGUGGGCUUGAAUCCGGGAGAGGGAUGCGGAAUUCCAGGUGUAGCGGUGAAAUGCGUAGAUAUCUGGAGGAACACCGGUGGCGAAGGCGGCAUCCUGGACCGGUAUUGACGCUGAGGCGCGAAAGCUAGGGGAGCAAACGGGAUUAGAUACCCCGGUAGUCC
rnacentral:rRNA from 1 species